GACGAACGCUGGCGGCGUGCUUAACACAUGCAAGUCGAGCGGUAAGGCCCUUUCGGGGGUACGACGAGCGGCGAACGGGUGAGUAACACGUGGGUGACCUGCCUUUAGCUCUGGGAUAAGCCUGGGAAACUGGGUCUAAUACCGGAUAUGACUCCAUGAUGCAUGUUGUGGGGUGGAAAGCCUUGUGCGGCUGGAGAUGGGCCCGCGGCCUAUCAGCUUGUUGGUGGGGCGANGGCCUACCAAGGCGACGACGGGUAGCCGGCCUGAGAGGGCGACCGGCCACACUGGGACUGAGGCACGGCCCAGACUCCUACGGGAGGCAGCAGUGGGGAAUCUUGCGCAAUGGGCGAAAAGCCUGACGCAGCGACGCCGCGUGAGGGAUGACGGCCU
rnacentral:rRNA from 1 species